AGGGAUAUAGCUCAGUGGCACAGCGCCUGCCUGGCAAGCACAAGGUCCUAAGUUUAAUUCUCAGCACCUUUA
rnacentral:tRNA from 1 species